CCAAAUGGACUAUUUAUGGGCUGUACCGAGGGUAACCUCGGUGCGAAAUCUAUCAAACUCGGGGAAGCCUUCAGGCGAUGGUAAUCCCGAGCCAAGCCUGCUUGUGAAGCAGGAAGGUGUAGAGACUUAAUGGUAGACAUCCCGAUAAAUCGGGAUGAAGAGAAAGUCCAGACCACAAACCCAAAAUGGGCAAUGAAAAUUGUAG
rnacentral:ncRNA from 1 species